CUGGGUUUUUGAAAUUUGGUAACUGAAGAAGUGGCACACUGAAUCUCCGGCACCAAGUCUGUAAGUAUUUAUGUUCCUCAUAUUACACUGUAUUAAGAUAUUACUGUAGAUAGAACUGAGACCAUAUCAUGACAUUAUAACUAGGGCAACCCUAAAAACUCUAGAAUACCGAGACUGUAGCUAGGCUAUGAUUCUGUGAAAAUAGAAACUUU
rnacentral:lncRNA from 1 species